CUCCUCCCCUCCUUGCUCACCCUUCCAGAAGCCUUCUGGGCUGAUCAAUGAAGAGCUGGCAGUCCUCCCAUUAUCGCCUCUCUCUGACGUCUGUCUCAUUCCCUGCAUCACACAUCUUUGGCACGUGUUUGGUUUCAGCCACAGUUGUGGUGGACAAUCCCGUGUCAACCUCAUGCCGCCUCAAGGUGGCUGCUUUCUGCCCCAGGAGCCUCUCCAACAUCUCAGGAGCCUGUUUGGUCCAGCACACAGCCGGGAAGUGCAGGAGGCCACCUUCAGUCAGUGGGAGAUGGGACCCUGUGGAAAGAUGCUCCAGCCUCCUGUCCUUUGGAUGGACCACUCUGGGAAGCAGCCUGUACACUUCUCAGGACAUCCUGCCUACAGCGGCAACCUUGAUAUUUACCAAGGGUCUGCUGAGUGCUGAGGAGUGUACCACGGACUAGAAUGACAAGGAAGAAAGACCUCAGUAAUGCCUUAUAUGGGGUGGUAGGUGAGGCCUGGGGGAGCUUGGAAAGGAAUCAGCAAUGAAAACUCAUGCCACAAAUGCUGAAAAUGGGGGCAACAGGUGAUGCAACCUGGGCUGUGGCAGGGAAGGGCCACACCUGAGCAAACAGUAAGUCUGGGAUCAGCUGAGAUGAAGGCUGUGCCGAAGUGUUUAUGACUCUUCAUGCCUUAUCAUCCCUUCCUGUUGCAACGGAGUGCGCCCCUGCCAUCUGUUUGUACAGACGCUUAUAAAACAACACGGCCUCGUGCCUUGCUUGCUCAUAGCCUUGGGAAUAUCGAUACAGUGCUCCUGGCUGGACAACUUGCUUCCUGCUUCCCCCGCUGAGUGUUCCCACCUCAUGUGGCCCUCUGUCUCAGGUUGGAGGGGGACCCAGAACAGAGAGUAAGGAACCACGAACCCAAAGUCACCCAGCAAGUCAUGGCAGGGUGGGGCUGACUGCAAUUCAAGGCUAUAGGUAUUUAUUAUGGGCCUAAAAUGGGCAAGGUCUAACGCUGGGCCAGGAAUAGGCAUUUCUCCAAACCCUACUGUGCAGGGACCUGCUAUCAGGCACAGAGAGGGAAGAAAAAGGAAGGACACCAUCACACCACCACUGUUGCCACCAUUAUCAUCAUCAUUAUCAUCACUGUUAUGGGCUGAGCUGUAUCCUCCCCAAAAAUGUUAAAGUCCUAACUCCCAGUACACAGAAUGUGACCUUAUUUGGAAAUACGGUCUUUGCAGAUGAUCAAGUUAAGAUGAAGUCAUUAGGAUGGACCCCAACCCAAUAUGACCAGUAUCCUUAUAAAAAAUUUAAACACAGAGAGAGACACAUAUUGGAAGAAUGCCACGUGAACCUGAAAGCAGAGAUCAAGGUAAUAGGUCUACAAGCCAAAGAACGCCAAAGAUUGCCAGCAAACCACCAGAAGCAAGGAGAGAGACACGGAACAGAUUCUGCCUCAGACUCUCAGAAGGAACCAACCUUGUCGACACCUUGGUCUCAGACUUACAUGUACUGUGAGACGAUAAACAACUGUGAGACAAUGAAUUCCUGUUGUUUAGGCCACCCAGGUUGUGGUACUUUGUUAGAGCAGCUCUAGGAAACUAGUACAAUCUCUAUCACCAGCAGCACCAGCGGCAGUGCCACCACCAUCAUCUGCACCAUCAUCGUCAUUGCCACCACCCUUAUCAUUAUCACCGUCACUACCACCAUCACUCCCAUUGCCACAAUCAUCAGCACCACCACCAGCAUCAUCACGGUCACUUAACUCACCACAUGCUGUCACUGUUCUGAGCACUUUAUUUCUAGGAGCUCAUUUAACCCUCGCAACAAUGCUAUGAGAUUGGCUAUGGAUUAUUGUCAUCGACAGUUCUUGGCGUAGUCUCGGCAGGAUUUCAGAGAAACCCACUGGAGGCCACCUGGAAUCUACACUGAGCUGGCAUUCGGUACCAAUAAGGGCCCAUUGAGCCCCCCGGAUCACUGCAUUCUUCAGGUGACCCUGAGACAUCAAAUAAGACUCUAUACAGCCCAGUUGGAAAGGACCAUACCAGGAGGAGAAGAACACGACAUCUAUUGUAGACAGCUGUCCCAAGACUCCGGACCAGGCCUGUAUUCCUGACCUUAUAUCUCCUCAUUUAAACCUUUGUUAUGCUUAAACUGUAUACCUAUUUUAUAAUUUGUUUGGAAUACUAUCAUACUUAAAGAAAGGGAUUAAUUUGGAACAGACUUGUCUUGAAGGCCAGGAAUUUAUCGAGUGACUCCUAAUGGAACUCAAUGGUUAUAUGGAACAAAUCUUUGGCCUUGGCUACUGCCUGGAUGGCUAAAAC
ensembl:lncRNA